UUUUCUUUGUUUGUUGGUUGGUUGGGAUUUUCUUGGGGGGGGGUCUGGUACAUGUAGCAAAAGAAAGUAAGAUUUUGGGCAGAGAUCAGUGUCAUGACAAGUGCACAAAAAGAGAUGCUGGGACAAAGUCACUCAGCUCACUCUACAGAAGUCCAGGACGAAAAGUUUUUAAAGAGGGAGUAUAUAUGUGUUUUUUUUCCUACUUACUCAUUUGCUAAUUUCAUCCACUUACCUCAGAUUACCUCACAUAAGUAGAUCUUCUUUGGAUGAAAAGUUUCAUGCCACAUUCACAGGGAUGAGAAUAUAAAGAACAGCAUACUUUAUUUUCAGGUGUACGCUGUGCUAAGGUCUAAAUUAAACUUGUUUAGAAAAAAAAAUAGUAGUAAGAUGUUUUUAUCGAUAAAACGGCUACUAAAAAGGAAAAAAAAAAAAAAAAACAUUGCUGCCAAGGGUACUGGAUGCAAUGUCUUUUCUCCUGUGUUAGAGUAGUUAUCUGCAACGUUUCUAUAUCCAUUGAGCAGCAACUCGGAAAAAAAAUGCCAGACAUCUGAGCUUUGCUCAUGAUAAGAAUGUUUUUGUAUGCAAAGAAGCAACUGAACGCCCCAAGAUAACCUGCACCGCUGGAAAGUUGUUUCAUGCUUACUCAAAUACAAGGCACGUGACACUCUCACUUUCUGAUGAAAUCCAGCUUCUAGCGAUGUUAAGGCAGAUCCUCAAGCAUCACAGUAUUGCACCAUCAACACAGACGGCCUUUUACACCACCUGUACCCAUAAUGAAAAGCUGCCAGUUUCACGGGGAGACGUUGAGAUUUUGGAAAAAGCAGCCAAGGUGGUGGAAUUUCGAUUGACACGUGGCUUAGAUCAGCUCCUCUGACUCUGGGACGUCUCAGAGGUACAUGCCUCGGACUGAGCAGCUGUGAGGGUUGCCCCUCCCGAGGCUCUGAUGGCUCGCCGAAUGCCCAGGCACUGCAUGAGACAAAAGAGGUGACUGCCACGUUAAACCGAUGAAAAAUAACCAGGACUUUUAACAUCACGGAUUAGGUUUAUCCAUCAUCAUAAUGAACACCAGGUCCUCAAAAAGAAACAAUGCACAGCCCAGUGUGCAGCACGUAGGUGAAGUAGUUCUGCUCCAGCUAUUUCAGUUGGGACGUUCCCUCCUUCCGUUCCUCUUUAGGCAGUGGAGACAAAGAGACUUUUCCAGAGGUAUUUGAAAAUAUUCCUGGACAUUUCCCCGGUUGGCUCCCGCUGAGCUCAAGGCACGGCUGUAGGAAGUUCUGAAGCAAGAGACCGAGAAGCGGGAGGAGGGGAAAAAUCCGGCAGAGUCGGUGCCGUGACCCAGGACGUUGUCCACCACCGAGAUGGAAACGGCCCCGCUGCUGCGGAUCGGCCGGCCCUAGGACACUGUCCCCAUCGACAGGGACCCGGUAGCCACCCGAAGAGCCGCUGAACUCCGAGCCGAUCUCCCACAUACCUACAUCCUCUACAGGUUUCCUAGGCCAGGUCACAACAGAAGCACAAAAUGAGCAAAACCAGUGGUGAAAAUAUUGUCUGGGUUGAUAAAAGAAGUUCUACCAUGCAUCACUUUGUACCUCUGACAAAUUGUCAACACAGCAUUAUUGAAACGAAUGGGUUCAAUGUGAAGACCUCAGUGACCCUUCUGCAAAUCUUCUCUCUUUCUUCAUUUCUUCCAUCACAUUUUUUUCACCUGUUGUUGCAGAUAUCCCUAGUAAUGAAUUAAAA
ensembl:lncRNA